UACAGAGGGGGCAAGCGUUGUUCGGAAUUACUGGGCGUAAAGGGCGCGUAGGCGGCCUUCUAAGUCGAACGUGAAAUCCCUGGGCUCAACCCAGGAACUGCGUCCGAUACUGGUGGGCUUGAAUCCGGGAGAGGGAUGCGGAAUUCCAGGUGUAGCGGUGAAAUGCGUAGAUAUCUGGAGGAACACCGGUGGCGAAGGCGGCAUCCUGGACCGGCAUUGACGCUGAGGCGCGAAAGCUAGGGGAGCAAACGGG
rnacentral:rRNA from 1 species